rnacentral:rRNA from 1 species
UAAGGAAUAUUGGACAAUGCCCGCAAGGGUGAUCCAGCCAUGCCGCGUGCAGGAAGAAGGCGCUAUGCGUCGUAAACUGCUUUUGCACCAGGGAAAACCCUUCUACGUGUAGAAGGCUGAUAGUAUGGUGAGAAUAAGCAUCGGCUAACUUCGUGCCAGCAGCCGCGGUAAGACGAAGGAUGCAAGCGUUAUCCGGAUUCAUUGGGUUUAAAGGGAGCGUAGGUGGCUUUGUAAGUCAGUGGUGAAAUCUUCUCGCUUAACGAGAAAACUGCCAUUGAUACUGCAGAGCUUGAGUACAGUUGCCGUUGGCGGAAUAUGACAUGUAGUGGUGAAAUACAUAGAGAUGUCAUAGAACACCGAUUGCGAAGGCAGCUAACGAAACUGUAACUGACACUGAGGCUCGAAAGUGCGGGGAUCAAACAG